AUGGGCAAGGGCAAGUGGAAUGUUGACUUGGCGACCUAUGCUGCUCUGAAUGCCCAAGAUCUUCAUUCUGGCUAUCUGAACCGGCUGUAUACCAGCCAUGAUUAUGAAGCUGGUCUGGUGAAUAUGAUGAAAGAGAAAUUUGAGGCUGAGCUGAAGACAAAAGAAAACCAAGUCGCCGAUCUCCAAGAAAAUCUGAAGUCCCAACAAGCUGAAACUUCCAAAGCAAAAGAGGAAUUAACCAGCGCUUUAAGCGCCAUGGAACAGCUUAAGGAGGGCUUCAAAAAGAAGCGGGCGGAUUGGGCCACUGAAAAAUCCGCUUUAACCAAACGAGCAGAAGAUGCCGAGGCUGCACUGAAACCGGUGGUGGAAGAACUGACCAGUAUAAAGCGGCAAGUGCAUGCCAUGACCGCUGCUAUCUUUGGGACACGCAUUGGUCACUUGGGGUCAGAUGUGCGGAAGAAAUUGAAAGCCGCCUACACAUUGACCGAACAACUGUACACUGGUGCACAGCGGAUCAUCGCUGCUGCAUCCCACAACAAUCCGGCGCCCACUUUGAUUCAAGACACUCUGAAGAGACUGUCAAUGCUUCCUGCUCGGGUUGAAGAGCUGAAGAAAUCUGCUGCUCGAACCGGUGCGAUCAAUGCCUUAAUCCGAGCAAAAGCUUGGGUGCCGGACUUUGAUCCUGUUGAAGCAGCUCAGGGCUAUCCCAGCUUGAAGGAAGAUGGGUCAGAAUUUAGUGAAGCGGAUCUGCGAGCAAUAAACCGGGAGGUGCGUCCGCUAGCUUGUCAAUUGGUUGAAGAAGCAGACUUGUAUCAUUAUCAAGCCCAAUAUGACAACCAAAAUAAGCGAGUAGCUGCACCAAUUCCUGAAGCGGAAAACCCCAUCCCUCCAAUCCGUAAGCAUACUUACGCUCCCGAUAUUCAACCGUCAUUGUUGAUCCAUGAUGAAGCUAUCUUUCAAGCAUUAAUGGGAAUCGACUAG
rnacentral:rRNA from 1 species